UCUUCUCUCCCCUCUUCGCCGUUCUCUCUAUCGCAGUCAGAACCUCUACAUUCAACCCUAUACUCUAACAUAAGAGUUCAUGUUUUGUCGGUAGAAUACUCCAAAUCUAGUGUUUGAUACCAGUUAAUAUUCAUUCCCUGAAAAUCAAACCUAGUUCGUCGCGGUUUUAUUCUUUGGUCGGUGAUAUUCGAGCUCGCAAUGUAGAAAUAAAUUGCAGGUGGACUUACUAAAACAUGGCAUACCUGACUCAUCAUCUCUAUUGCUCUCUUCAAUUUUUUAAGAGAAAGUGAAAGGGUGGCAGGGUGCAAAGAUUUACCAAAUUUGCAGAAGAGGCCAAUGUCACAUAUUCAACAGGUCCGUGUAAAAUUGCAAAGCCUCUUCCAAAUCUAAUUUUCAACUCCAGACAGGGACUCUAUUCUUAUAUGUGGACCUCAAGGGACUCUUUGCAGGUGGUUCGAAGUGGAUAGAUGGUGAAUUUGGGAGUGCAAGUUUCUAUCAAGGUAGGUUUAUAUAGAUGUUGAAUAUUGUCUUUCGAAGUUGAAGACUUUCUUGGAAUUAUGAAGGCUGCACAAAACGGUUCAAUAUCCAAGAUUAAUUUAAUUAGAUAUCUGUUCAAAUACAUUGUAAUUGUAUUAGAUGGAUAUGUAUAGUUAGUUAUAUGUAUAAUUGGUUGCCUUCUCGAUGUAA